UACGAAGGGGGCUAGCGUUGUUCGGAAUUACUGGGCGUAAAGCGAACGUAGGCGGUGUUCCAUGUCAGAGGUGAAAGCCUGGGGCUCAACUCCAGAAUUGCCUUUGAAACGGGAACGCUUGAGUCCGAGAGAGAAUGGCGGAAUUCCUAGUGUAGAGGUGAAAUUCGUAGAUAUUAGGAAGAACACCGGUGGCGAAGGCGGCCAUCUGGCUCGGUACUGACGCUCAGGUUCGAAAGCGUGGGGAGCAAACAGG
rnacentral:rRNA from 1 species